GGGGUCAUAGCUCAGUUGGUAGAGCGUCGCGUUCGCAAUGCGAAGGUCUGCAGUUCGAUUCUGCAUGGCUCCACCA
rnacentral:tRNA from 2 species